UGGAACAUUUCAGCUACCAAGAGUGAUGAAUAAAAUUGAAUUGUUUUCUUUGGAGCAGAGACGUUUGAAGGGCUCCUGAUAAGGAUAUACAAGAUUAACAUCUGACGAGAACUAUGCAGUGUAUCAGAAGAACGUUCUGCUGUUGGGACUGAUGGAGAUACUCUCAUUCAUUAUCUCAGGUGCAGGUGAUCGACUGUCCAUUACAACUUCUGUGAGAACAACAAUAUCCUUCCACUGUAGAAAAUGUAACUCUGAGUAAAGUGAACCAAGUUAACUGGUACAAGAUAAUUUAUGCUGAGCAUGAUAUUGUUAUUAGUUAUAUUCCCAUUUCAAACGUGAUGCACCAACAGAAAAGUAGCUCAAGAUUCACGUUGUUACAGAAUCCUCAGGAGCCUUAUAGUCUGCAGAUACAAAAUACACAGCUUUCUGAUUCUGGGAAGUAUAUCUGCUUCAUUUCAGGGGAUGAUAACAUCUGGAUAACUGAAUAGUACCUUGUUAUUACAUGAUUUUACAUGGUAACAGAAAUGCUAAUUUGGUCUCACAUUAAUAUAACUUGCUAUUGACAGAGUCACUACAUUGUGGAAACAGGCCAUUAGGCCCAACAAGUCCAUACUGGCCCUCCAAAGAAUAGCCCACCAAGUCCCAU